GAGGUGGGAGGAUUGCUUGUGCUUGGGAGGUUGAGGCUGCAGUGAGCCAUGAUCAUGCCACUGUACUCCAGCCUGAGUGACAGAGCAAGACCCUGUCUCA
ensembl:miRNA